GUCCACAGCCAUACCACCCUGAAUGCGCCUGAUCCUGGCUGAUCUCAGAAGCUAAGCAGGGCUGGGCCUGGUUAGUACUUGGAUGGGAGAAAGAAAGGUGAAGGGAGGA
rnacentral:rRNA from 1 species